rnacentral:rRNA from 1 species
CUCGCAAGAGUGAACUAGCUAACUGAAAUCAUAAAUUGAAUAUUUUCAAUAUGAUGUGGUAAGGGAAAAUAAUGAUACUACCUUACUUAUAGUGUUGUCUAAGUCUGGUGCCAGAAGACUCGGUAAGGCCAGGAACGCAAACGUUAAUCAUCUUGAACAGGCGUAAAGGGUUUGUAGGCAGCUCUUUAAAUUUUAGAGCUAGAAUCAUAAAUGAGUUAAGCCGUAUAAUACUUAGAGAAGGGGUUAUAUCCUUAGAACCUAGGUGGAAUACUAAAGGUGUAAACAACUAGCUACAAAUGAUUGACGCUGAGAGACGAAGGUGAGGAUAGGAAAUAGGAUUAGAUACCCCGGUACCCCUCUCUGUAAACGAUGAAUGGUAAUCAUUAAUAUAUUAUUAAUUAGUGGUAAAGUUAACACGUUAACCAUUCCGCCUUGGGAGUACGAUCGCAAGGUUGAAAACAAAAAAAUUAGUCGGUCUCGGAGCAAACGGAAUGAAGCAU